UAGUUAUUAAUUUAAAUAAAAUAUUAAUUUUGUAAAUUAAAUUUGUGAAUGAUCACAUAACUAU
rnacentral:tRNA from 1 species